ACGGAGGGGGCCAGCGUUGUUCGGAAUUAUUGGGCGUAAAGGGCGAGUAGGCGGCCUCGUCAGUCGGGCGUGAAAUCCCGCGGCUCAACCGCGGAACUGCGUCCGAAACUGCUUGGCUUGAGUCCCGGAGAGGGUAGCGGAAUUCCCAGUGUAGCGGUGAAAUGCGUAGAUAUUGGGAGGAACACCAGUGGCGAAGGCGGCUACCUGGACGGGUACUGACGCUGAUGCGCGAAAGCGUGGGGAGCAAACAGG
rnacentral:rRNA from 1 species